GAAAUAAACUGUAAAAAAAAAUCAGUGUUGUGUUGUUAACAGAAAUGCAUUCAGCUGGGCUCGCCACCCGCUGGAAACCUGAAACCCCGUUUGCUCAGUCUCCAUUCUUGGGCCCAGCGAUGGGGACGGGCGCACUUCAGAGAAAAUAAAGGAGCAAGAUGUGGCACCAUCGAGCAGACGUGUGGGGAGCUAGAAAGUUCCGUAGGGUGGGCCAGACCCCCCGUGAGGGGGGAUGCUCGGCCCAGCCUGUCCUGCCCCGUGGGGCUGCGGCCCAGUGAGGCGAGCUGACCAGUGGGGACAUGGUGACUGAACACGCGUCCUUGUCUCAUCUGUGCUUCUGAAGCCUCUCAGGGCCUGGGCAGCGUAGGGGUGAUGCCCGCGGGGACCGGAGGCCCCCCGAUGUCUCUCCGUGAGGCUGGGAAAGGAGACGGACCCCUGGGUGUCUGCAGGCCAGAGAGGAUGUACCUGUUUCCUACUGUGGAAGGACCUCCUUCUAUGGUGUCACGUUUGGCGUUUCUUACCAUUGCAAAGCAGUGACUUAACUCAAGUUCAGGCCCCCUGCCCCGAUACCCCCACGGGGCCAUGGAGUUCUCGGGGCAGCUAGGGACGGGAGAGGCCGCAGGGGUCUGGUCCCCCAGACCUGGAGGAGCCGAUGCCACCAGGCAGGACACGGCUCCGUACUUUGUGUAUCCAGAGCGCUCGCAGGUCAGAUUUCUGUCUGGAGUGGCUGCUGGCUCAGCACCGUCUCCCUGGGACUCAGACGAUGCCUGUGGAAGGUUCGAGGGCUGACCCGGGAGUCCGGGGACAGCUCCUGGUGCCCUGGGGUCCUGGCUCUCUGGAAGGCUCUCCGGAAGGCUUCCCUGGCCUUGGACUUGAGGUCUUGUGUCCCCAACAGUUACUGAGCCUCUGCAAGUGCCAGCAGGGCCCCACACCUCUUCCUGCUGUGUGUGCUGACACCAGAGGUCUCCUGUCUCUGUUCAGGAGGAGGUGGACCCCUCCAGACAGGCAGUGCCUCUGUCUUCUCGAGUCCACGCGGUGUGGGCCUUGUGUACGCUGGGCCACGAACCUCACAGAGGUUCUGAGGUUUCUCCGUUGUCCUGUUAUCUACAUAGGUGAGGUCAGAGAGGUGUUCCUCUGCAUUGACGGCCGAUGUCAGUCAUUUACACUUGAGUACGAAUGAGGCCCUGAUGCUGAUCGGGCUACCAGGAGCUGGUGUGGACAUAAGGUCUCACUGUCUGACCCUGACUUUGAAGACCAACUGAAACAGGUGUUGCUACCUGCCUGGCGGGAGGGCCUCUGGCAACUUCCAGUCCACUAAAUGCAGGGGGAAACUGAGCGCAUCUGAGGCCCACAGGGGUCCUCGAGGUCAGCUCCACGUCUUGUGGCUCCAGUCGUAGCCCAGACUGAGACCGCUUGCCCCAAGGCCUCCCCCUUUUGGGACUCCUCAUGCCCCGUUUGCACCUAGAGGCCCUGGCUGGUUUUGGAAUCCUGCUUCCCAGGCUCUGUUCCAGGCUCUGUUCCAGGCUCACCAUGGAAGCCCUUCUGCUUCUCAAAUUCCUGGCAGAUUCCUGUGCUCGGGGCUUCAGUGACAGAGGCUGGACCUGAUGCACAAAGGAGCACGUGCUGCUGCCUUGUCAGGGCUCUGGGAACCCGGUCGCAGGCUUGUCCCUGCAGUGGCGCUUCCAGGGUCGGCGUGGGUCACCGUGGCAAAGGGGCGCGCUGCCCUCGCUGUGCCCUUCCUGGCGGAUCUGUAUCCAGCAAGCACUCCGCACCCCGCGAAUCCUCGUGACGCUCGUCAGAGGGAGAUGCUUUUGUUCCUGUUUUAGAGGUAGACGAGGCUCAGGGAAGGGGCACGCCCAGGGCCCCCGGGCAGGUGGAUCAGAGCAGGACCAUGAGCCCCGAGCCUGUGCGCUGACCCCCGACGCUCGGACCCCAGAGCUGCUGGUUCUCCGGGAUUCUGGGCCAUCGGCUGCGGCCCAGGCGGGCCGGGCUCUGGCUGGUGGCGACAGGCACGCGGGGCCCCUGGGGCUGGUCUCUCCCUCCCUUGGCCGUCGGCCGAGUCACCAGGAGCGCGGCCGUGGGGCUCAGCUCCAGGCUGUUCCUUUUCUCCCACAAAAGCUCCUCGGCCACCGUUUCUCCCGGCACCUGCCUCCCCGAGCAGACCAAGAGCCUGGGAGCGACGCGGCCGGGACAGGGGUCCCUUGGGGUCCAGACCCCUGCCCAGGACCCUGUGCUCUGUGUUCCAGCUGCUCUUCUGAUUUAUUGGACGCCGCCUUUCAAGUGACAUUAAAAACCACCCCUGAAGUUCCUGAAUCCCGUCCAGUGGCUCCCUACCUGGAACUGCCGGGGACCGUCAGGACGGGGUGCCCGGCCCCGGCGGCCUGAGCGUGGACAGGGACUCAGGGCAGCCCAGCAGCACAGGAGACAAGGGGCACCUUCAGCAUCCACCUCACCUUCCGUGUCAUUGCCCUUGCGUGAGAUGGCGGGUCUCCAGUGACAGUGUCCCCAUCCUGGAAGUUCCGUGCUGGCUGCAGGUUAGCUCUGGGGCCCGGGCUCUUCCCUGGGCUCCGGUGAGGGCCACCGAGUCGCCGCCUGGACGUGCGGGCUCUGGACGCAGCACACACGUGCUCCUCUGAAAUUCCAAAUUGCGAAAACUUCGUCUCAGUCAGCGUAGCAGAGAGUUUGGAGAGGGGGCGGUAGGCGCUGGAAAUUAAACGGCACCUUUUGGCAUCUCACGUCGGUGAGGCGGCCAACUGAUUAUUUUUAUAUUACAAUCCCCAGGCGUUGUCAAAUUGAUUAAUAAAUUCGCUGAAAACCCA